rnacentral:rRNA from 1 species
CCUACGGGAGGCAGCAGUAGGGAAUAUUGCUCAAUGGGGGAAACCCUGAAGCAGCAACGCCGCGUGGAGGAUGAAGGUUUUAGGAUUGUAAACUCCUUUUGUGAGAGAAGAUAAUGACGGUAUCUCACGAAUAAGCACCGGCUAACUCCGUGCCAGCAGCCGCGGUAAUACGGAGGGUGCAAGCGUUACUCGGAAUCACUGGGCGUAAAGAGUGCGCAGGCGGGAUUGUAAGUCCGAUGUGAAAUCCUGUAGCUUAACUACAGAACUGCAUUUGAAACUAUGAGUAUAGAGUGUGGGAGAGGUAGGUGGAAUUCUUGGUGUAGGGGUAAAAUGCGUAGAUAUCAAGAGGAAUACUCAUGGCGAAGGCGACCUACUGGAACAUUACUGACGCUCAGGCACGAAAGCGUGGGGAGCAAACAGGAUUAGAUACCCUAGUAGUC